ACUAGUGCAGGGGAGCCCACGGGCAGGGGCACAGGACCCCCCCGUACACUCGGGGGGGGGGUCUCCUCCUGAGGGGGGGUGAACCGGAGGAGAGGGCGGAGGCAGCAGGCGUGCGAGCAGGCUCUCUGCCGAGGGAAUUGGUGUAAUUGCCACAGAGAAGUUAUGUGAAUGGAAAGAGAAGUGUUGGGAGAGCUGAUAAGAGAAUCACGCUAUUAAAAUCUGAGAAUAUUUGAAUGGAAACCUUAAUAAUUACCAUAGAUAAAGGAGAAAGAAGAUUUUUGUCCCAGACUGAGGGAAGCUACCAGCAGUGCACCAGGAAAUCAAUGUCUUUCUUGAGCCUCCCUGGUUUAGAAGUAAAAACAACUGGCUCAGUUUGAAUGUAAAUAUCUGUGCUUCACAAAGUGAGGAAGAUACAAACCAAAGAGGGUUAUGUGUUUAGUUAAGGAUCAUUACCAUAAAAGUCUGGUUAACACUCCUAUAGCCUAUGAAUAAUAUUCCUAUAUAAUGUGAAUAAAUCUUUUGCUUCAGUGUUUGUCUCUUACCAACACUCAGUAUCUACCACAAGGUUCAUCUUUUCAAGUAGAAUGACAUUUACUAAUA